ensembl:snRNA Gm23206 predicted gene, 23206
ACAGCUUCUCCUCUUUUGGCUAGAAUCAAGUGUAGCAUGUGUUCUUACCAGCUUAAUAUCUGGUGUGUCCUUUAUCCGACAAUAAUAUAGUCAAUGGAUUUUUUUUUGAAACAGAAAGACUCUUCUCUGUCUACCCCAUGCAUCCACCUGGUACUACAAUGCCUCUGAGAAUGAUGUACUUCAU